CCAUCUCCCAAGGCUAAAUACUCCCUAGUGACCGAUAGUGCACCAGUACCGUGAGGGAAAGGUGAAAAGCACCCCGGAAGGGGAGUGAAAGAGAACCUGAAACCGUGUGCCUACAAGUAGUCAGAGCCCGUUUAUGGGUGAUGGCGUGCCUUUUGUAGAAUGAACCGGCGAGUGACGAUGACGUGCGAGGUUAAGUCGAAGAGACGGAGCCGCAGCGAAAGCGAGUCUGAAUAGGGCGCUUAGUACGUCGUCGUAGACCCGAAACCAGGUGAUCUACCCAUGCCCAGGGUGAAGGUAGGGUAACGCCUACUGGAGGCCCGAACCCACGCACGUUGAAAAGUGCGGGGAUGAGGUGUGGGUAGGGGUGAAAUGCCAAUCGAACCUGGAGAUAGCUGGUUCUCCCCGAAAUAGCUUUAGGGCUAGCCUCAAGGGAAGAGUCUUGGAGGUAGAGCACUGAUUGAGCUAGGGGCCCUCAUCGGGUUACCGAACUCAGUCAAACUCCGAAUGCCAAUGACUUAUCCUUGGGAGUCAGACUACGAGUGAUAAGAUCCGUAGUCGAGAGGGAAACAGCCCAGACCACCAGCUAAGGUCCCUAAGUGUACGUUAAGUGGAAAAGGAUGUGGAGUUGCUUAGACAACCAGGAUGUUGGCUUAGAAGCAGCCAUCAUUUAAAGAGUGCGUAAUAGCUCACUGGUCGAGUGACUCUGCGCCGAAAAUGUACCGGGGCUAAACGUACCACCGAAGCUGUGGGAUGACCGCUGGUCAUCGGUAGGGGAGCGUUCUAAGCGCGCCGAAGCGAGACCGGAAGGACUCGUGGAGCGCUUAGAAGUGAGAAUGCCGGUGUGAGUAGCGAAAACAGAGGUGAGAAUCCUCUGCACCGAAAGCCUAAGGGUUCCUGAGGAAGGUUCGUCCGCUCAGGGUUAGUCGGGACCUAAGCCGAGGCCGAAAGGCGUAGGUGAUGGGCAACAGGUUGAGAUUCCUGUACCACCUCCUCACCGUUUGAGCAAUGGGGGGACGCAGGAAGGUAGGGCGAGCAGGCUGCUGGAAUAGCCUGUCCAAGCGGUUAGGCUGCCAGAUAGGCAAAUCCGUCUGGCAUAAAGGCUGAGCCGUGAUGGCGAAGGGACCAUUGGUCCCGAAGUCCCCGAUCCUACACUGCCAAGAAAAGCCUCUAGCGAGGUGAGAGGUGCCCGUACCGCAAACCGACACAGGUAGGCGAGGAGAGAAUCCUAAGGUGCGCGGGAGAACUCUCGUUAAGGAACUCGGCAAAAUGACCCCGUAACUUCGGGAGAAGGGGUGCUCUCUUGGGUGAUGAGCCCGAGAGAGCCGCAGUGAAAAGGCCCAAGCGACUGUUUAUCAAAAACACAGGUCUCUGCGAAGCCGAAAGGCGAAGUAUAGGGGCUGACACCUGCCCGGUGCUGGAAGGUUAAGGGGAGCGCUUAAGCCGCAAGGCUGAAGGUGCGAACCGAAGCCCCAGUAAACGGCGGCCGUAACUAUAACGGUCCUAAGGUAGCGAAAUUCCUUGUCGGGUAAGUUCCGACCCGCACGAAAGGUGUAACGACUUGGGCACUGUCUCAACGAGAGACCCGGUGAAAUCAUACUACCUGUGAAGAUGCAGGUUACCCGCGACAGGACGGAAAGACCCCGUGGAGCUUUACUGCAGCCUGAUAUGGAAUUUUGGUAUCGCUUGUACAGGAUAGGUGGGAGCCUGGGAAGCCGGAGCG
rnacentral:rRNA from 1 species